rnacentral:rRNA from 1 species
GCUUUAUCUGCAGAGUUUGAUCAUGGCUCAGGAUGAACGCUGGCGGCGUGCUUAACACAUGCAAGUCGAACGAUGACUUCUGUGCUUGCACAGAAUGAUUAGUGGCGAACGGGUGAGUAACACGUGAGUAACCUGCCCUUAACUUCGGGAUAAGCCUGGGAAACCGGGUCUAAUACCGGAUCCGGAUACGACCUCCUGGCGCAUGCCAUGGUGGUGGAAAGCUUUAGCGGUUUUGGAUGGACUCGCGGCCUAUCAGCUUGUUGGUUGGGGUAAUGGCCCACCAAGGCGACGACGGGAGCCGGCCUGAGAGGGACNGCCACACUGAUGNCCGCAC